UAUAGUGUAAAAUGUUUUGAAUGUAUAUAUUAUUUUGAUCAAUAUAUCACGCAUCGAUUUAUAAUAUUUCUUUGCGUAUGAAGAAUUCCUAUGUUCAUGGUCAAUCCGUUUGGUUGUUUUUGUAUAUUAAAAUUGUAAUUGACUAUGAAUUAUUAAAUUUAAGACUUUUUCAUAUAAUAUAGUCUUUAAUCUAAUCGGUGUAUCUACCUACUAUUGUACAGUUUUUACGUUUUAUUUGGUCACCUUCGUCGUCGUCGUCGUCGUCGUCGUGUAAUUAACGCCAGAAAAAGACGUGAUGGGGAUACUGAUUUUUUUGUGUAUGUUCUGUGCAUAUUGGUGGAGGUAUUGCAGGUAUGACAAGAAAAGUGCUGGCGUAUUAAUAUUUAAUAUAUAGGUAUAAACAUAUAUUAUAGCCACUAAACAAUUUAUUUUAACACAAUGUAUUGACUGGCAACUAACAAUAUUUAAGAAAAUAAUGUUUUAAACAAAAGUUUAAUUAAAAGAUGAAUCUGAUAAUAUAAAAGUGAGUGCACCAAGAGGUUAUUAAUCUCCUGACUGUGUGCUGAU